CCUACGGGAGGCAGCAGUGAGGAAUAUUGGUCAAUGGGCGGAAGCCUGAACCAGCCAAGUAGCGUGCAGGAUGACGGCCCUACGGGUUGUAAACUGCUUUUAUACGGGAAUAACGCGCCUUACGUGUAGGGCUUUGCAUGUACCGUAUGAAUCAGGACCGGCUAAUUCCGUGCCAGCAGCCGCGGUAAUACGGAGGGUCCGGGCGUUAUCCGGAUUUAUUGGGUUUAAAGGGAGCGUAGGCGGGAUGUCAAGCGUGUUGUGAAAUGUCCGGGCUCAACCCCGGAAUUGCAGGGCGAACUGGCGGGCUUGAGUGCGGGUAAGGCAGGCGGAAUUCGUGGUGUAGCGGUGAAAUGCUUAGAUAUGACGAAGAACCCCGAUUGCGAAGGCAGCUUGCUGCAGCGGAACUGACGCUGAUGCUCGAAAGCGUGGGUAUCGAACAGGAUUAGAUACCCCAGUAGUC
rnacentral:rRNA from 1 species